UUCUGCCCCUCCCCCAUACUCAGGUGCUGGGCUCUCUCUCUCUCUCACAAAUAAAUAAAUAAAAUCUUUUUUUUUUUAAAGUCUGUCUUGCCCUUAAGAAACUAAAGUCUAAUAUAAUAAUCAUGUAAAAAUAUUGAACAAAAAUAUUUUCAAAAUACUGUCACAGCAAAUCUCUAGGUAUUUCAAGAUGUCCAGGAAGGAAAAUACUAUACAGUUGACUUUCACGUCCCAAUCAUUAAAACUGUGUUAAUACUGGGCAUUUAGUCUCGGGUGUCAUUUUCCUGAUCUGUGAUUCUCAGGCUGCAUUUCCAGAGCUGUCUGUGGCUCUUUCAAGUAUAAACUGCAAUUCUUUAAAACCUCUGAUCCUUUUACUAGGAGACUGAAAGAAAGUCCUGGACUGAAAAAUGAGUUUUCCACUAGUUUUGUCAGAAAGCAGUUUGUGGAUAUAGCUAUGUGUCUUGGGUGAGAAAGGAUAUAAAACAGUUAAUUCAAAUAAAAAAGCAACAAAGCAACAAAUAGCAAGGCAGCAAACACUUUUGGUGCCUUUCCAGUGAAAACAACCACCCCAGGUCUGUCAAGUCUACUAAAGGAGUUGUUUCAUCUGGAGUUACAUACUCUAACCUCACUUUUCAAAAAAUUGAGUGACUGUUAGUUUGCUUGACUGGGCCGUUUUUGAAAAUCUUAAGGAUAGAGAAAACACUGUGCCACUGACAGUUGAAUAAGUAUACAGUAAAUACACUUUAACAUUUACUACUCCAAGGUCCAUGAAUUUGGCAUCAGGAUUAGCUUCUUAAGCAUUUUAUUCAUAGGAUUCUUGAGCACCCAAAUUGUGAAUUUGUCAGUAGCGAUCAGAAUAUGCUGGUAGAAAUAAGCUGUCUUGCCAAAAGCAGCACACAAAAUUCCUAUGUCAUAAGCUAAUAAAUCCAUUGUUCCCUCUUAGGGAAAAUGACUUCUCAAAAUUUAUACAUUCAUUCAACAAAUAUUUAUUAAAUCCUACUAUCUGUCAGGUAAAAUUCUAGGUGCUUGGGAUGGAUCAAUGAACAAAGGGAUUAAAAAUGUUUACCUUUGUGCUCUUACCAAGUUAGGCAGACAAUAAAUAAUGAACAUAAGUAAUAAGCAAAUGAUAUACAUAGUCCCUCACCUUAGGCACAGUUUUGAUCUCCGUGGUUUCAGUUACUCUAAGUCCACUGUAGCCCCGAAGUAGAUGACCCUCCUUCUUCUGUAUCUAAGGUCAAUAGUAGCUGUCCCUAUGCCUAUGUCAUUCACCUCGCUUCAUUUCAACGUUUUGGGAUUUUUUUUCAUCUCACAUCAUCACAAGAAGGCUGAGUUCAGUACAAUAAGAUAUUUGAGAAAGAGACCACAUUCGUGCAACUUUUAUUACAGCAUGUUAUUAUAAUUAUUAUUUUUUAUUAGUUAUUGCUGUUAAUCUCUUAAUGUGCUUAAUUUAUAGAUUAAGCCGUAUCACAGGUAUGUAUGUAUAGGAAAAAACACAGUAUAUAUAUGGGGUUAGGUAUUACCCGCAGUUUCAGGCAUCUCCUGGAGGUCUUGGGACCACUGUAUAUAGGUACUAUAUAAAGUAAUACUUUAUAUAUCAGGAAAAGGGGAUCAGGAUCAGGAAAAGGGGAGGAUUCAUUCAAUGCCAACUUUAUCCACCUGUUCAUUCAACAUUUGUGAAGUGCCAUAUGCAAUGAUAUCUGCGAGGGUCUGGUGGCAAGUAUCAUCAGACAAAGUUCCUGCCUUCAGGUCUUGUACACUCUCCUGGGAGACAUACACGAACUGAAUAAUCAAACAUCCUCAUCUCCCCCACGCUUCUUCCCUAAUUGAUCUCUCUCUGCGGCACUUCUCACCCUUUAAUAUAUUUCAUGUUUUACUUACAUAUUUUCUUUAUUCUCUGACUCUUCCCUCUAGAGUAUAAGCUUCUUAAAAGUGGUUUAUGUCUGCUCUGUUUACAUCCGUAUCACCAGUAUAUAAAGCAACACCUGCCUCAAAGUCAGCAUUCAAUAUAUAAUUUUGAAAGAAUAAUCACAUAUAUCCAUAUUUUCAGCUAUAUUUGCUUCAGUUUCCAUUUUCCAUUUUUUGUUUGCUUUCCACUUCUUAUAUAGGGAUUUCACUUUUGAAAAUAGAACUCAUCAUCCCUAAUACUUUCCCUCAUAAUAAUAACAAUAAUGUGAAAUACAGACAUUUCUAGCACUAUAAAAAAAGUAACUCUGAUAAUGUAUGUUGUAAAAAGAGUGUUAUAGCAAAAGCCAAGCAAAAGUCACACAAAAUUGAGAGCCAAAUUUAUCCCUAUAAUCUUUAUUACCUAUCAGGGCAGAAUACCAUUAUUCUAACACUACAUUGAAUAUUACAGAAUGCAUUAGCUGAAAUGAGAGUUUCCAGAAAGGAGAGGUGGGGGCUUAAACUGGGAAUAAUUUUUUGUAGCAAGUGAUAGAAGGAAAAAAACAUAAAUAGCAAAUAAACCUCUAUGUCUUCAUAGAAUUAUGAAGCCACAUGGACUAUUGCUCCUAUCCUUGGGUGUCUAAUUACAAACCUCUCCAAUCUGGCAGAGCAGAAUUCUUCUUGGAAGAUAGGUUUUUCCCCAAGCUGGUUGUAGUAUCUCUAUGAAGUCUGUUGACUUAUUGGCUAGCUAUGGCAUUAUUAAACCCAGGACACCAAAAUGUCCUUGUGAGUUAGGCAGUCACAUUACUUAACCUUACAUUUCAUAUCUAUGACUUGACAGAAAUUUCUUUUCUCUCAAAUUUUUCUAUAAUCUUAUCUUCUUUGUUUAUUAGCUUAUGCAGCUUUGUGUAAAAUUAAUCCCAACAACCACAAAGGAGUAAGAAAACAACAUAGGCUCAUGAGAAAUGCCUCAUAGUCACUCUUUGCAGAAAUUCUCUAGCUGAAAAUUUUAAGUGAGGAGCAUCUUAUGAAUCAAAUAAAAUUUGUCUUUCAGAAUAAAAAUCCAAAAACAAUUUUCGAGAGGACAUAGUAAUCUCUCUGGAAACCAUACUUUAAAGAAUUAAUGUUCCUUCAGCCUUGAGAGUUGUGAAUGCCUGGUGGAUACUUUCAACUGAACUUCUAAAUCAUAAACAACCAUGAAAAAAAAUUUUAUAACUAAGGUUAACAAAAACAAAGCCUUGAUUUUUAUGUAGCAUCUGAAACUGUAUUUUCUCAUGUCACCAUCACCAGACUUUCCAGAGGCUCUUUUUCAGAAAAAAAAAAAAAAAAAAUGAUAGCAUAAUUCAUCAGUCAUGGAGAUGCAUUGUACAUGACCCACUAACAUUUCUCUAUUUGUAGCUUUUUGUGAUUGGCGGCGUAUCAAUGCCCUCUAGCACCUGGGACAUAGGGAAUUACAAGCAUACAGCAUCCACAUUAUCUCUACUUUGCAGUCACACUUAAUUUAGCAACAAAAUAUAAGGGUUCAGAGUCUAUCACCCCAAAAUAUGCUGCCUUGGCAUAUUGGUUACUUUGAGUGAGUUAAAGGUAAGUUAAAAAUGUCAGAUGCAAAAAGGGACCUCUGACCUUUCUUUUUUUCUGGAAGGAGGAGAUAAAACUCCCAUGAAAAGUGUCCUCCCUAUACAAGAGGAAAGAAGACAUGCUUGUCACCAGAGAAGGGUACUGAGAGAAAUCUGUACAAACUUGUUAAACUGAUCCUCAUCAAUCUAGUCACUUUUCCACAGUUAACUACCCUACCCCAAACCCCUUUGUUUUGUCAUGUUGUCACAAUUUGCUACCCUUCGUCUAACCUAGUACAUAGCAUUCACCUCUAGCUACUUCUUUGUGUCUUCAUUUUCUAGUGAAGGUGCCCAUGUACAUGUAAAAAUAAAACAUACAGUCUUUUUAUUAAACUUGUCUUUCUUGUCUUCAGGUUUUGCUCAAAGACCUAAGAGUUAACUUAGCCUUUCAAAGAUUAUAGUGACAGCUGCUAAGAUAAGCUAUUAUUUCCCAGCUGGGAGAAGUGGCUGCAGUGACAGACUAGGCUUUCACAAUCCUUUGGAAUGUAAAUGGAUUCUCUCAAGAAGAGAGGGGGAAGACUGCGCCACAGAAUGCAAAGCAUUUGGCUGUGGAAGAAGUUAAGUUUCAUGACCCUUUGAGUGAGAGCAGAUGGUUCAAGGUCUACCUAAUAGCCUUUAACUUCCAAGCCUUGUCCUUUCACCCAGGUGCCAGUAAUAUUUUCUCUGAAAGUCCUAACUCUGCAGAACCAUGAAAAUAUCCACUUCUUGACACAGAUCAGUGGGUGCCCGUGGCUGAAUGUUGGAGCAGGAUUGACAGCAAACAGAACUAUUUCAGAAGCCAGGAACAAGAACCAAUAUUAUAACAAUGUUCCUACAGCUCUUAUCACUUUGGAAAACAUAAUGGUUUGAGGAGCUUCAUUCAGAAGCUUGGAUGAAGACAAAAACACCUUUCUUAUUAUAUCACAAUAUCACAUCCAUACUGUGGAACGCUAUUUCAUAGAGGGAAAGGAGUGUGCAGGAAUCGGCACAAGUGGAGCUUUGGGGUUCUGUUAAUUAUCUCGGUGCUGCUUAUGGGAGAACGUUCAUUUUUUACAGAUUUACUAAGCUACUCAUUUUUGGUUUGUGUACUUUAUUUUUGUUAUGCUUCACACCAACUGCACCACUACCAGAGUUCAUUGUAUAUGUAGAGUCUAUAAUAUACCUCUACUCUGCAUGUGUGUGUAUGUGUGUGUAUCAUAUAUAUAUA